rnacentral:tRNA from 1 species
GGUCAUAGCUCAGUGGUAGAGCGCUUGCCUAGCAUGCAUAAGGCACUGGGUUUGAUCCUCAGCACCA